UAAAACUAUUAAUUACUUAAAAAAAGGAUUACAAGUAGAAUAUAAAAAAGGUUUACAAAAGAGAAUAUUAAAAAAGAAAAAAAAAAACUAUUACAAAAAAAAAAAAAAAAAAAAAAAAAAAAAAAAAAAAAAAAAAAAAAAAAAAAAAAAAAAAAAAAAAAAAAAAAAAAAAAAAAAAAAAAAAAAAAAAUCUUACUAACAGUAA
rnacentral:misc_RNA from 1 species